rnacentral:rRNA from 1 species
UACAGAGGGGGCAAGCGUUAUUCGGAAUUAUUGGGCGUAAAGGGCGCGUAGGCGGCUUGGCAAGUGGAAGGUGAAAUCCCUCGGCUUAACCGAGGAACUGCCCUCCAAACUGCUUUGCUUGAGGCCGGGAGAGGCGAGUGGAAUUCCCAGUGUAGAGGUGAAAUUCGUAGAUAUCAGGAGGAACACCGGCGGCGAAGGCGGCUUCCUGGCUCAUUACUGACGUUCAGGUACGAAAGCGUGGGUAGCAAACAGG